GCAAUCAAGAAUCUUUAAUUUGUUACUCUGUUUUCUCAGAUAUUCUUUUUAAACUAUUCCUUUGAACUCAUAAGGAGCUAUUACUUCUCUCAGCCAUUAGCCUUUUCACACUUUUGCUCUUUCUGACCACUGUGUGCCAGAGAUUGCAAAUUCUUUGAGGUCAGGCUUUGUAUUGUUUACCUUUGCAUGUGACUAGCACAUACACUUGCACUCAAUUAAUUAAAAAGCCAUUUCCUCAGCCAUACUAAACAUAUUUCCAGUACUUAAUAGUCCCAUGAAGAUGACACCUACAAAAUUGGAUAGCAGAUAUUUUCAUCUCAGAAUGUCUUAUUGGACAGCACUAGUCCAAACAAUUGAUGGAGAAGAUCAUUUGGGUGUAGAGAGGCAGGUUGUAAUUUAUAACUCAUUAUCAGGGAGGGUGAGUAUAGGGCUGUCACGAUAUCAGAAAUGCCUUGGCAAUUCUCAGCUGUUUGAUGCAUUAACACACUUCUUCCACCUGGAAAUGGAAUUCCAG
rnacentral:lncRNA from 1 species